rnacentral:rRNA from 1 species
GAUGAACGCUGGCGGCGUGCCUAAUACAUGCAAGUCGAGCGAACGGACGAGAAGCUUGCUUCUCUGAUGUUAGCGGCGGACGGGUGAGUAACACGUGGAUAACCUACGUAUAAGACUGGGAUAACUUCGGGAAACCGUAGCUAAUACCGGAUAAUAUUUUGAACCGCAUGGUUCAAAAGUGAAAGACGGUCUUGCUGUCACUUAUAGAUGGAUCCGCGCUGCAUUAGCUAGUUGGUAAGGUAACGGCUUACCAAGGCAACGAUGCAUAGCCGACCUGAGAGGGUGAUCGGCCACACUGGAACUGAGACACGGUCCAGACUCCUACGGGAGGCAGCAGUAGGGAAUCUUCCGCAAUGGGCGAAAGCCUGACGGAGCAACGCCGCGUGAGUGAUGAAGGUCUUCGGAUCGUAAAACUCUGUUAUUAGGGAAGAACAUAUGUGUAAGUAACUGUGCACAUCUUGACGGUACCUAAUCAGAAAGCCACGGCUAACUACGUG